UUGGCAUAAAACAUGUUGACAAGAUUUCGUGUAUAUUCAACCACAGUUAAUCCUUUGUCUGUUUUCAGAUUUAGUUCAUCAUUGACAUUGGCCUUUCUGUGCUUCAACUAUCCAUUUGAAUCUCACUACCCAUUUGGCUUUCCUCAUGUGCAAGAGAGAGAGCACAAGCAGGGAGAACAGCAGAGGGAUAGGGAGAAGCAGGUUCCAGGCACUGCAGGGACUCGAUCCCAGCACAUCAGAAUCACGACCUGAGCUGAAGGCAGAUGCUUAACCGACUGAGCCACCCAGGUGCUCCUACAAUUUCAUGUAAAUGGAAUCAGUAUGUAUUCUUUUGUGCCUGGAUUUUUUUUUCACUCAGCAUGUUUUUGGGAUUCAUCUACAUUGUGUUUCUCAGUAAUUUCGUUUUACCACUGAGUAGUAGACUAUUGUAUGAAUACACCACAAUUUGUUUAUUCACUCACCUAUUAAUGGAUAUCUGGGUUAUUUCCAAGUUUGAGCUAUUUGAAUAAAACUAUUGUGAACAUU